AGAGUUUGAUCAUGGCUCAGAUUGAACGCUGGCGGCAGGCCUAACACAUGCAAGUCGAACGGUAACAGGAAGCAGCUUGCUGCUUUGCUGACGAGUGGCGGACGGGUGAGUAAUGUCUGGGAAACUGCCUGAUGGAGGGGGAUAACUACUGGAAACGGUAGCUAAUACCGCAUAACGUCGCAAGACCAAAGAGGGGGACCUUCGGGCCUCUUGCCAUCGGAUGUGCCCAGAUGGGAUUAGCUAGUAGGUGGGGUAACGGCUCACCUAGGCGACGAUCCCUAGCUGGUCUGAGAGGAUGACCAGCCACACUGGAACUGAGACACGGUCCAGACUCCUACGGGAGGCAGCAGUGGGGAAUAUUGCACAAUGGGCGCAAGCCUGAUGCAGCCAUGCCGCGUGUAUGAAGAAGGCCUUCGGGUUGUAAAGUACUUUCAGCGGGGAGGAAGGGAGUAAAGUUAAUACCUUUGCUCAUUGACGUUACCCGCAGAAGAAGCACCGGCUAACUCCGUGCCAGCAGCCGCGGUAAUACGGAGGGUGCAAGCGUUAAUCGGAAUUACUGGGCGUAAAGCGCACGCAGGCGGUUUGUUAAGUCAGAUGUGAAAUCCCCGGGCUCAACCUGGGAACUGCAUCUGAUACUGGCAAGCUUGAGUCUCGUAGAGGGGGUAGAAUUCCAGGUGUAGCGGUGAAAUGCGUAGAGAUCUGGAGGAAUACCGGUGGCGAAGGCGGCCCCCUGGACGAAGACUGACGCUCAGGUGCGAAAGCGUGGGGAGCAAACAGGAUUAGAUACCCUGGUAGUCCACGCCGUAAACGAUGUCGACUUGGAGGUUGUGCCCUUGAGGCGUGGCUUCCGGAGCUAACGUGUUAAGUCGACCGCCUGGGGAGUACGGCCGCAAGGUUAAAACUCAAAUGAAUUGACGGGGCCCGCACAAGCGGUGGAGCAUGUGGUUUAAUUCGAUGCAACGCGAAGAACCUUACCUGGUCUUGACAUCCACGGAAGUUUUCAGAGAUGAGAAUGUGCCUUCGGGAACCGUGAGACAGGUGCUGCAUGGCUGUCGUCAGCUCGUGUUGUGAAAUGUUGGGUUAAGUCCCGCAACGAGCGCAACCCUUAUCCUUUGUUGCCAGCGGUCCGGCCGGGAACUCAAAGGAGACUGCCAGUGAUAAACUGGAGGAAGGUGGGGAUGACGUCAAGUCAUCAUGGCCCUUACGACCAGGGCUACACACGUGCUACAAUGGCGCAUACAAAGAGAAGCGACCUCGCGAGAGCAAGCGGACCUCAUAAAGUGCGUCGUAGUCCGGAUUGGAGUCUGCAACUCGACUCCAUGAAGUCGGAAUCGCUAGUAAUCGUGGAUCAGAAUGCCACGGUGAAUACGUUCCCGGGCCUUGUACACACCGCCCGUCACACCAUGGGAGUGGGUUGCAAAAGAAGUAGGUAGCUUAACCUUCGGGAGGGCGCUUACCACUUUGUGAUUCAUGACUGGGGUGAAGUCGUAACAAGGUAACCGUAGGGGAACCUGCGGUUGGAUCACCU
rnacentral:rRNA from 1 species